rnacentral:rRNA from 1 species
UUGACCUCAAAUCAGGUAGGACUACCCGCUGAACUUAAGCAUAUCAAUAAGCGGAGGAAAAGAAACUAACAAGGAUUCCCCUAGUAACUGCGAGUGAAGAGGGAAGAGCUCAAAUUUGAAAUCUGGCAGUGUUUUGCUGUCCGAGU